rnacentral:miRNA from 4 species
GCUAUUUCACGACACCAGGGU